rnacentral:rRNA from 1 species
GACGAACGCUGGCGGCGUGCCUAAUACAUGCAAGUAGAACGCUGAAGGAGGAGCUUGCUCUUCUGGAUGAGUUGCGAACGGGUGAGUAACGCGUAGGUAACCUGCCUGGUAGUGGGGGAUAACUAUUGGAAACGAUAGCUAAUACCGCAUAAUAACAGUUGUUGCAUGACAACUGUUUGAAAGGUGCAAUUGCAUCACUACCAGAUGGACCUGCGUUGUAUUAGCUAGUUGGUGGGGUAACGGCUCACCAAGGCGACGAUACAUAGCCGACCUGAGAGGGUGAUCGGCCACACUGGGACUGAGACACGGCCCAGACUCCUACGGGAGGCAGCAGUAGGGAAUCUUCGGCAAUGGACGAAAGUCUGACCGAGCAACGCCGCGUGAGUGAAGAAGGUUUUCGGAUCGUAAAGCUCUGUUGUAAGAGAAGAACGAGUGUGAGAGUGGAAAGUUCACACUGUGACGGUAGCUUACCAGAAAGGGACGGCUAACUACGUG